GUUCAGGAUGAACGCUAGCUACAGGCUUAACACAUGCAAGUCGAGGGGCAUCAGGAAGAAAGCUUGCUUUCUUUGCUGGCGACCGGCGCACGGGUGAGUAACACGUAUCCAACCUGCCCUUUACUCGGGGAUAGCCUUUCGAAAGAAAGAUUAAUACCCGAUAGCAUAAUGAUUCCGCAUGGUUUCAUUAUUAAAGGAUUCCGGUAAAGGAUGGGGAUGCGUUCCAUUAGGUUGUUGGUGAGGUAACGGCCCACCAAGCCUUCGAUGGAUAGGGGUUCUGAGAGGAAGGUCCCCCACAUUGGAACUGAGACACGGUCCAAACUCCUACGGGAGGCAGCAGUGAGGAAUAUUGGUCAAUGGGCGCUAGCCUGAACCAGCCAAGUAGCGUGAAGGAUGAAGGCUCUAUGGGUCGUAAACUUCUUUUAUAUAAGAAUAAAGUGCAGUAUGUAUACUGUUUUGUAUGUAUUAUAUGAAUAAGGAUCGGCUAACUCCGUGCCAGCAGCCGCGGUAAUACGGAGGAUCCGAGCGUUAUCCGGAUUUAUUGGGUUUAAAGGGAGCGUAGGUGGACUGGUAAGUCAGUUGUGAAAGUUUGCGGCUCAACCGUAAAAUUGCAGUUGAUACUGUCAGUCUUGAGUACAGUAGAGGUGGGCGGAAUUCGUGGUGUAGCGGUGAAAUGCUUAGAUAUCACGAAGAACUCCGAUUGCGAAGGCAGCUCACUGGACUGCAACUGACACUGAUGCUCGAAAGUGUGGGUAUCAAACAGGAUUAGAUACCCUGGUAGUCCACACAGUAAACGAUGAAUACUCGCUGUUUGCGAUAUACAGUAAGCGGCCAAGCGAAAGCAUUAAGUAUUCCACCUGGGGAGUACGCCGGCAACGGUGAAACUCAAAGGAAUUGACGGGGGCCCGCACAAGCGGAGGAACAUGUGGUUUAAUUCGAUGAUACGCGAGGAACCUUACCCGGGCUUAAAUUGCAGUGGAAUGAUGUGGAAACAUGUCAGUGAGCAAUCACCGCUGUGAAGGUGCUGCAUGGUUGUCGUCAGCUCGUGCCGUGAGGUGUCGGCUUAAGUGCCAUAACGAGCGCAACCCUUAUCUUUAGUUACUAACAGGUUAUGCUGAGGACUCUAGAGAGACUGCCGUCGUAAGAUGUGAGGAAGGUGGGGAUGACGUCAAAUCAGCACGGCCCUUACGUCCGGGGCUACACACGUGUUACAAUGGGGGGUACAGAAGGCAGCUAGCGGGUGACCGUAUGCUAAUCCCAAAAUCCUCUCUCAGUUCGGAUCGAAGUCUGCAACCCGACUUCGUGAAGCUGGAUUCGCUAGUAAUCGCGCAUCAGCCACGGCGCGGUGAAUACGUUCCCGGGCCUUGUACACACCGCCCGUCAAGCCAUGGGAGCCGGGGGUACCUGAAGUACGUAACCGCAAGGAUCGUCCUAGGGUAAAAC
rnacentral:rRNA from 1 species